UACAGAGGGUGCGAGCGUUGUCCGGAAUUACUGGGCGUAAAGGGCGCGUAGGCGGUUCGAUAAGUCGGAGGUGAAAUUUCGUGGCUCAACCACGAACCUGCCUUCGAGACUGUCGGACUUGAGCACGGUAGAGGCAGAUGGAAUUCCCGGUGUAGCGGUGGAAUGCGUAGAGAUCGGGAAGAACACCAGUGGCGAAGGCG
rnacentral:rRNA from 1 species